rnacentral:rRNA from 1 species
CUACGGGAUGCUGCAGUGGGGAAUAUUGCACAAUGGAGGAAACUCUGAUGCAGCAACGCCGCGUGGAGGAUGACACUUUUCGGAGCGUAAACUCCUUUUAUAUAGGAAGAAGAUGACGGUACUAUAUGAAUAAGCGCCGGCUAACUCCGUGCCAGCAGCCGCGGUAAUACGGAGGGCGCAAGCGUUACUCGGAAUCACUGGGCGUAAAGAGCGUGUAGGCGGAUUAAAAAGUCAGAAGUGAAAUCCUAUAGCUUAACUAUAGAACUGCUUCUGAAACUCUUAAUCUAGAAUGUGGGAGAGGUAGAUGGAAUUUCUGGUGUAGGGGUAAAAUCCGUAGAGAUCAGAAGGAAUACCGAUUGCGAAGGCGAUCUACUAGAACAUUAUUGACGCUGAGACGCGAGAGCGUGGGGAGCAAACAGGAUUAGAUACCCUUGUAGUC